ensembl:snRNA U6 U6 spliceosomal RNA
CUGCUGUUUUCAGCAGCACAUUUGUGACAUUUGGAAUGAUACAGAGAUUAAUAUGGCCAUUGUGUAACAAGGACAUGCAAAUUCAUAAAGUACUCCAUAUUCUG